rnacentral:snRNA from 1 species
AUCGCUUCUCGGCCUUUUGGCUAAGAUCAAGUAUAGUAACAGCUGUUAACAUUGCGCAGUAUUUUUCGCGUACAUUUUUUCUUUAAAUACUGUAAGAUAAAUUACAAACAUCGUAACUUUUCACUCCUAAAUAGAUUAUAAUAUCUCUC